AAAACUCAACAGGCUGAAUUGUUGCCUGGAUAAAGACAUUUUGUUCCUCUGUCAGAUCAUCAGUGAAGGUUUAUAAACCCUCCAUUCCCUGGUUGAAGGCACACUGCUGCUAGUGAGUCCUGCUGCUGCUGCUGCUGCUUGGAUUCUUCAUCACAACAAGAUGAAAUUCGUCCUUUUUACUUUGUUCCUUUGUGGAUUCGUCCUGGAAAUCAAUGCUGGACGUGGUUUUCAAAAACCGAAAAAACCAAGGUCAUUUGGAGGAAUAAGAACUGCUGUGGCAUGUGAGGGAUCAGAGGCUCACUUAUCGUGUGCGCAUGAGGAUAUAUUUGUGAUCAGUGCUAUAUAUGGACGCAGCAAUCGGUUGACGUGCUCCGUUGGGAUACCUGCAGAGCAGAC